rnacentral:tRNA from 1 species
AAUCAAUGAGCUUGAAAAGCAUAUAUUUUGAAAAUAUAAGAAAGAAUUUAAAUUUCUAUUGAUUU